UACGGGGGGGGGCAAGCGUUGUUCGGAAUUACUGGGCGUAAAGGGCUCGUAGGCGGCCAACUAAGUCAGACGUGAAAUCCCUCGGCUUAACCGGGGAACUGCGUCUGAUACUGGAUGGCUUGAGUUCGGGAGAGGGAUGCGGAAUUCCAGGUGUAGCGGUGAAAUGCGUAGAUAUCUGGAGGAACACCGGUGGCGAAGGCGGCAUCCUGGACCGAUACUGACGCUGAGGAGCGAAAGCCAGGGGAGCAAACGGG
rnacentral:rRNA from 1 species